UACGAGAGGUCCAAACGUUAUUCGGAAUUACUGGGCUUACAGAGUUCGUAGGCGGCUCUACAAGUGAGGUGUGAAAGCCCUCAGCUCAACCGAGGAACUGCGCUUCAAACUGUAGAACUAGAGGGAGAUAGAGGUGAGCAGAACUGAUGGUGGAGCGGUGAAAUGCGUUGAUAUCAUCAGGAAUACCGGAGGCGAAGGCGGCUCACUGGGUCUCUUCUGACGCUGAGGAACGAAAGCUAGGGGAGCAAACGGG
rnacentral:rRNA from 1 species